rnacentral:miRNA from 1 species
AACCUCAUCAACCAGAAGGGAUUCCUUCCGGUCAAUGAGGUGUAACAACCUCAUCAACCAGAAGGGAUUCCUUCCGGUUGAUGAGGUG